rnacentral:lncRNA from 1 species
GCUGGAGGUAUCCUGCUGCCCCCUGCCCUGUCCUGGAGCUGCCCUUGGCCUCCUGUGCCCUCUACCGGUGCACGCCUGUGUGGGCCCAGCCCCCAUCUGUCUGGUCUGGCCCUGAGAGGCUCGGGCACCAGCUGCAUCAUUUCUCUUUCUUCUCCAGCCCCUUCGAUGCUGAUGCCUCUGUUCCCUCUUUGGAUUCUGUCACUGCCGCUGGAUCCUUAGGAUUUGACUCCUC